rnacentral:rRNA from 1 species
AAGUCAUAUGCUUGUUUCAAGGAUUAAGCCAUGCAAGUGCCAGAGUAACUAUCUGUACUAGAGGUCUGCGUACGGCUCAUUAAACGGUUUUUUAUCUACCCAGCGAAGGUGGUUCCCUAACCGCCCGAUGGAUAACUCCGCUAACUGUGGAGCUAAUACACGUCUGACAAAGCUUGCCCUAUCAACCUCCUAACGGGUUCGCCUUGCGGGAGGUGGGGUGGGCUGCUAUUGGCCGAUACAAAAACCAACGCCCGUUGAGGGCAGUUGUAACAGUUGAGGCAGGCCAAUCUUGCAAUAGCGUCUUCUGACGCGAUGCUGGACGAAAUUACUACCUAUCAGGUUGUUUGUAGUGUAGUGGACUACAAAGCCAGUUACGGGUCCGGGGGAUUGGGGUUCGAUUCCGGAGAGGGUGCCUGAGAGAUGGCAACCAUGGCUACGGCCAGCAGCAGGCGCGCAAAUUGCCCAAUGCCGACACGGUGAGGCAGCGACGAAAAAUAACAACUUCACCGCCCUUUCGGGCAUGAAGUUUGUAAUGAUUUGUAAACACACGUACUAAGAGUAUCCAUU